rnacentral:lncRNA from 1 species
ACGGUUAAGCCGGGGAAACAGCAGGUAGUUUAAGAGGGGAGAAAUUUCUUAGGGAGAUGCCCAGAGUUCCUGACUUUGUUCCGACUGGAGCAUUCUGGCGUCCAGUUAGGUGGAAGAGAAAUAGGGAGGGUUUGGAC